CUCCUGCUGUGUCCACAGCACCUAACGGAGGUGGCUGGUGAUCCUCUCAGCUGCCCCAGAGGCAGGGAUCGGUCUCGUCCUUCCACAGGGGCAGACUCAGCUACAAGUUCUGGCCGGGAGAGCGUCACAACAGAGCAGACAGCUUCUGAAAGAGUGGGUGACAGCCAGAAAAUGAGUUCGUGCUAACAGGCCAGCCCCUGCUGCCCCGUCUGUGAACAGCUGUUUGCUCCAGCACGGUGAGAGAUGAUGUUGGCUUCCACCUUCCCGGUAUCCAUUCCACCUCCUUCUGGCAAGAGCGCCUCAAGGUACUUGGACACUUAGCCUACUUCCAUGGAUGCAGUCUGGGAUGGGGGACAGCUCACCGCACGCUCCUCCUUCUCCCAGCCCAGGAAUGGGCAGGUGUCCUAGCUCCUGCCAUAUUCUUGCUGUGUGACAAACAGCCCCUGAAAUCUCUGUGGCUUGGAACAUAACGCUUUCUUUCUUGCCGGUGGGGCUGCAAGUUCCUGGAGGGGCUCGGCUUCAGACUGUGGGUCAAGUUCGCGUCUGUUUCAAGGGUCUCUCUCUGGGACCCAGGCUGCAAGAGGAAGUACAGUUGCCGUGUUGCAAAGGGACACAGAUGCUGUGCCCACCAGGGAGAGACGGCGUGGUGUGCCUGGAGCCUGCCCAGCAAAUUUAAUCAGCCCCAUUACUCAUCUAACAAAUGCAAUCCUUCUCCACCCCACAGCCUCCAGGUGACCAUAGUCGGGUAGAAGCAGGGAUGUAGCCAGAGGGUGGGGACGGCCCAGGGCCAUUCUGGGGCUGCGGGGAGGCCCUGGGGGAGGCUCCUGGCACCACCAGCUGUUGGUGACAGCUGCUUCCGCCUGUCCCCCCCACCCCAGGGCUCUGUCAGAGGGUUGUUGUUCAAACAGAUUGAUUUUGGCAAAGCCUGUGAGAUGAAUGCGCUCUCACAACUGUCACCGGGCGUGCGGUUUCCUGGCUGCCGGAGGGAGGGCCGCACCAGAGGCCCUCCCCGGGUCUGGAGGCCAGGAGCCCGAUGCGGGUGUUACGGGGGCCAAGGGGUCGAGGAGUCGGCAGGCGGCCCGGGCAGCCUGCUGGCCCUGCUCUUGAGGGCUGCCUGCCGUCAGGCCCCAAUCCUUACCCCAGUGAGACACAGUAAGUGAGUCACAUGGGUGACAGUCGGUGGUGAGGGCUGGCCAAGACAGGGCCCAGGGGGCUUAGGUCACAGUUUAAAGGGAGGCCAGGGGCGGGGCAGGCAUCGACCAAAG